CAGUAGCCGCGGUAAUACGAAGGGGGCUAGCGUUGCUCGGAAUGACUGGGCGUAAAGGGCGCGUAGGCGGCGAUCAAAGUCAGGCGUGAAAUUCCUGGGCUCAACCUGGGGGCUGCGCUUGAUACUUGGUUGCUUGAGUGGGGAAGAGGGUCGUGGAAUUCCAAGUGUAGAGGUGAAAUUCGUAGAUAUUCGGAAGAACACCAGUGGCGAAGGCGGCUCACUGGCUCAUACUGGACGCUGAGGUGCGAAAGCGUGGGGAGCAAACAGGAUUAGAUACCCCAGUAGUCCCUGUCUCUUAUAC
rnacentral:rRNA from 1 species